ACAGCUCGAAAGCCGCGAGGCUCACUCCGCACAGGAUGCCCUAGCGCGUCCACGCUCGUGAGCGGGCUAAGGUCUGAGCAUUCUAGUCUCCCUCGAUUGACUCUAGCAGAGUCCAGCGGUAACCCGCUGCGCGACGCACCAGAAAACCAGCUCGACAAUCCUUCGUCCCCAAGAUCUUCGGCGACGGAGGGAGGGCACGGACUGUUGGGCUUUGAAAGCGUCGCGGAGGCCGGGUGGGUGUACAUCUUCGACGAAUGUCCUGCGUUUUCCCGCUCUCUAUCGCGCCCAGGUACCAUCGUGUGCCGCGGCGGUCACCUCGACCCAAGGAGACCGUCGUUCACGUCAGAAGAGCCUCACCCUCGGGUCCAGAGUUAACGGAAGAGGUUCGUGCGCACGCGUAACGUUAAUAAAUCGCGUCGUCAAAAAAGAAAGCGCACAGGGCGUGACUGUAAAUCCGAACAUCGGUGAGCCCCCGUUGAACCCCAGUACUUCUCCUAUGGGUGAGGUCUCGUCUCGCAUUUGCGCCUCUUUAUGUGCAGCAGGCGAGACGGCGUACGAGGGGAGUGCGAAGCGUUUGGGCGCGUCGACAGGUACCCUGCCCUUCAGUUCACUUCGCGGCUCAUCAUGUUUUCCUUCGUGGAAGACGAUGAAACUCGAUUCAGACUACUCUUGGGCUGU
rnacentral:RNase_P_RNA from 2 species